AUCUAGGGCUUCCUGACAAGCCUGCAAUUCAAAAAUGGAUGGAAAAGAGAAGAUGGGGAAAAAAGAACAAAGAAAUAAGAAAGCAUGAACUUUAACAUUGUUCAAAUAUUAAUUUAGUGUCUAUGCUCAAUUGGUUGAAAAAUGAAGAAAGGUAAGAGAAAAAAAACAAUGAGAAAAGAUGUAAGACAAAUUAGAUGAAAAAAG
rnacentral:misc_RNA from 1 species